GUAGUCUGCAACUCGACUACAUGAAGCUGGAAUCGCUAGUAAUCGCGAAUCAGAAUGUCGCGGUGAAUACGUUCCCGGGUCUUGUACACACCGCCCGUCACACCAUGGGAGUCAGCAACGCCCGAAGCCGAUGACCCAACCGAAAGGAGGGAGCCGUCGAAGGUGGGGCCGAUAACUGGGGUGAAGUCGUAACAAGGUAAC
rnacentral:rRNA from 1 species